UACGAAGGGGGCUAGGCGUUGCUCGGAAUCGACUGGGCGUAAAGGGUGCGAGUAGGCGGGUCUUUAAGUUCAGGGGUGAAAAUCCGUGGAGCUCAACUCCAGAACUGCCCUUUGAUACUGAAGAUCUUGAGUUCGGGAGAGGUGAGUGGAACUGCGAGUGUAGAGGUGAAAUUCGUAGAUAUUCGCAAGAACACCAGUGGCGAAGGCGGCUCACUGGCCCGGUAUCGACGCUGAGGCACGAAAAGCGUGGGGGAGCAAACAGGG
rnacentral:rRNA from 1 species